rnacentral:ncRNA from 1 species
CUUUUGGAGAGUUUGAUCCUGGCUCAGGAUGAACGCUGGCGGCGUGCUUAACACAUGCAAGUCGAACGGCCCUUCGGGGCAGUGGCAGACGGGUGAGUAACGCGUUGGUACUUACCCCAAAGUGGGGAAUAACCUGCCGAAAGGUGGGCUAAUACCGCAUAGUAUCGUAAGAUUAAAGCCUUCGGGCGCUUUGGGAUAGGCCUGCGACUUAUCAGCUAGUUGGUGAGGUAACUGCUCACCAAGGCUAAGACGAGUAGCUGGUUUGAGAGGAUGAUCAGCCACAUCGAAUAAGCAUCGGCUAACUACGUGCCAGCAGCCGCGGUAAUACGUAGGAUGCAAGCGUUAUCCGGAAUCACUGGGCGUAAAGAGUUCGUAGGCGGUUGGUUAAGUCGGAUGUGAAAGACCGAGGCUCAACCUCGGGAACAUGUCCGAAACUAAUUAACUAGAGUAUGUUAGAGGUGCGCGGAAUUCUCGGUGUAGCGGUAAAAUGCGUAGAUAUCGAGAGGAACACCAAUGGCGAAGGCAGCGCACUGGAGCAGUACUGACGCUGAGGAACGAAAGCGUGGGGAGCGAACGGGAUUAGAUACCCCGGUAGUCCACGCCGUAAACGAUGUCUACUAGCUGUGGGGAGCAUCGACCCUCUCCGUAGCGAAGCUAACGCGUUAAGUAGACCGCCUGGGGAGUACGAUCGCAAGAUUAAAACUCAAAGGAAUUGACGGGGACCCGCACAAGCGGUGGAAC